CCUACGGGUGGCUGCAGUGGGGAAUAUUGGACAAUGGGGGGAACCCUGAUCCAGCCAUGCCGCGUGUGUGAAGAAGGCCCUCGGGUUGUAAAGCACUUUCAGUGAGGAAGAACGCCUGGUGGUUAAUACCCAUCAGGAAAGACAUCACUCACAGAAGAAGCACCGGCUAACUCCGUGCCAGCAGCCGCGGUAAUACGGAGGGUGCGAGCGUUAAUCGGAAUUACUGGGCGUAAAGCGCGCGUAGGUGGCUUGAUAAGCCGGUUGUGAAAGCCCCGGGCUCAACCUGGGAACGGCAUCCGGAACUGUCAAGCUAGAGUGCAGGAGAGGAAGGUAGAAUUCCCGGUGUAGUGGUGAAAUGCGUAGAGAUCGGGAGGAAUACCAGUGGCGAAGGCGGCCUUCUGGACUGACACUGACACUGAGGUGCGAAAGUGUGGGUAGCAAACAGGAUUAGAUACCCUAGUAGUC
rnacentral:rRNA from 1 species